AGCAGCCGCGGUAAUUCCAGCUCCAAUAGCGUAUAUUAAAGUUGCUGCAGUUAAAAAGCUCGUAGUUGAAUUUCGGGACUAAUAUGUCGGUCGUGCCUCGGUACGUACUGGCUUAUUGGUUUCUCCUUUCUGAAGAACCAUGAUGUCAUUUAUUUGGUGUCGUGGGGAAUCAGGACUGUUACUUUGAAAAAAUUAGAGUGUUUAAAGCAGGCUCACGCUUGAAUACAUUAGCAUGGAAUAAUGAAAUAGGACGUUUGAUUCUAUUUUGUUGGUUUCUAGGAUCGACGUAAUGAUUAAUAGGGAUAGUUGGGGGCAUUAGUAUUCAAUUGUCAGAGGUGAAAUUCUUGGAUUUAUUGAAGACUAACUACUGCGAAAGCAUUUGCCAAGGAUGUUUUCAUUAAUCAAGAACGAAAGUUAGGGGAUCGAAGACGAUCAGAUACCGUCGUAGUCUUAACCAUAAACUAUGCCGA
rnacentral:rRNA from 1 species